GGCUGACUCACAGUAUGCUGUUCUUCUCCCAGUCCAAGAAUUGACCGUACAGCGAGAGAACUGGAUUGGCCCGCACUAAAUUUGACAGAGGAGCUCAUUAAAACCAACAGAGCUCUGGGAUAUGCCCCCUCUAAGAUGAUAAUGGAGGACCUGGUCGAAUUGAUUAAUAAAAGAUCAAGGUUGUUUGAUUUAUUAUUUUUUUCAAAGUUGCCUGUUGGCAGACUUUAAAUUGGUGCUGGAAACACUUUUAUGCAUCCACCUUUUUACAACCCGAGAGCUGUUUGAAAUUGGAGUGGGGACAAGCACCGAGAGAGAUGUAACGUCAACUCGCACGCUUCUUACGCUUUAUUAUUCCUGGACGCGGGAUUGGAGGUAAUCCCGAUACUGAGCGGUAGAAAACACAGCGGUAGGGCAGAGACCAAUUCUCUGCUCCAGUGUAUUCUGGACCAUGGGACUGAUGCACGAUAUAUUAAGGGAUGAAGAGGAGAGAGAGAGAGAGAGAGAGAGAGAGAGAGAGAGAGAGAGAGAGAGAGAGAGAGAGAGAGAGAGAGAGAGAGAGAGAGAGAGAAGAGAAACAGAGAGAGAGAGAGAGACAGUGAGAAACAGGAAGAGAGAGGGACCGUCUUAUGGGAUGUGAAGGAUUAGGAAGCCAACUCCAGGCUCUAGGCCUCCUCCUCAAAUAGCCCUGGAUUCCCGGUGUUUAUCUUGGGGUUAGUUCCAGGGUGUUAGCCUCCCAGCGGGGGGGGGGGGGGGAACGACGACACACUGAACUCAUUUCCUGCCCGGGUUCGGUCGCACGUUGAUGUUGGAUUCAAAGACCUCCCAGCAGCCUCCAGGGUAUCCAGACCUCCUCUACACAUGUCAAGGUGCGAAGGUCCUGGCGUCCUUCAGAGUAAAAGCGUGUGGCCCGGUACGACCCCAGCCUGGGGGGCUGAACUUUGUUGAGGAGCGGUGGAGGACCAGAGAGGGAAAGGGUGGAUCUGUUCCCUUUAACUGUCAAAACUCCACUGAUGGGUCCUGGUGAACAGAGGUGCUGAUUGGCCCUGCCGACGUUUCAAUCAAUUAUAAUCAGUCGGCCGUCUCAAGCACCUCCCAGAUUAUACGCUUUGUGUUCUUUUUUAUAUCAUCUGAAUUGCGUUUGUGUGUGAAGGUUUUUUUGAUUGUUUAUUGAUUCCCACCAUGAAUCAGAAUCGACCGAACAGAACCCGAAACAAAACAACACAACAGAAACAUAACGAAACCAACCCGGAGUCAGAGCUGUGAUAUCAGAAUGCAUUCACACAGUCAGCAUGAGACUUGAGAGCGUCCCAUUGGCCCUCCACCCCGCUCCACAGACGCCCUAGAACAUGAAUGAUGAAGAGGCUACACCCUGCUAAGGAAACCAAAGGAACUGGUUUUACUGUAAAUAAUGGAAAUAAAUUCAAAUACAAUACGUUUUCCACAACGGCCCUGAGAAAAACACGUCCUCUGUUUUUAUAUAAAAUCUGCUAGCAGCACUUUCUGUAUGGAUGUCUGUGUGUUUAUUAUUUGAAUGUUAAGACUCAUUACCAAAGUCGCCUGUGGCCAACUGCCAUUUGGCAACCUGAGGGGCGGAGCUUAGUGGAGCUACAAGACAAAACACACACACACACACGCACACACACACACACACACACAAACAGACCACUGCUCCUCCUUCUCCUCCUCCCACUCCCUUCCCCCCUCAACACCCCCACCCCUCCUCUUCCUCCCCUCCCCCUCCUCUCCUUCUUUUCCUCCUCUCCUGCCU
rnacentral:lncRNA from 1 species